rnacentral:tRNA from 1 species
AAUUAUAUAGUCAAUUAUGAUAUUAAAUUGCAAAUUUAAAGGUAAUAUUUUUUUUAUAGUUU